rnacentral:misc_RNA from 1 species
UACGGAGGAUCCAAGCGAUAUCCGGAAUCAUCGGGUUUAAAGGGUCCGUAGGCGGGCAUAUAAGCCAGUGGUGAAAGUCUCCAGCCCAACUGUAGAACUGCCAUUGAUACUAUAUGCCCUGAGUCAUUAUGAAGUGGUUAGAAUGAGUAGUGUAGCAGUGAAAUGCAUAGAUAUUACUCAGAAUACCGAUUGCGAAGGCAGAUCACUAAUAAUGUACUGACGCUGAUGGACGAAAGCGUAGGUAGCGAACAGG